UCGUCCCGACUCCAGGGGCAGGAUCCCAUACUGGAUUAGAGGGAUUUCCUAUUCCCGCAUCGGUACCAGAACCGAUGGGGCAAUUUGCUGAUGGAGGCCCAACAGGGACCGCGACAGAGAUACCUAUAUUGCCGGGAGAUCCCCACUUCCAGCAAACGGUAGAGAUGUUGACCCAGGCUCUGGCAAGGACUGGGCAGCCCA
rnacentral:lncRNA from 1 species